rnacentral:rRNA from 1 species
AGUGAACGCUGGCGGUAGGCCUAACACAUGCAAGUCGAACGGCAGCACAGUAAGAGCUUGCUCUUACGGGUGGCGAGUGGCGGACGGGUGAGGAAUACAUCGGAAUCUACUUUUUCGUGGGGGAUAACGUAGGGAAACUUACGCUAAUACCGCAUACGACCUACGGGUGAAAGCAGGGGAUCUUCGGACCUUGCGCGAUUGAAUGAGCCGAUGUCGGAUUAGCUAGUUGGCGGGGUAAAGGCCCACCAAGGCGACGAUCCGUAGCUGGUCUGAGAGGAUGAUCAGCGACAGUGGAACUGAGACACGGUCCAGACUCCUACGGGAGGCAGCAGUGGGGAAUAUUGGACAAUGGGCGCAAGCCUGAUCCAGCCAUACCGCGUGGGUGAAGAAGGCCUUCGGGUUGUAAAGCCCUUUUGUUGGGAAAGAAAAGCAGCAGGUUAAUACCCCGCUGUUCUGACGGUACCCAAAGAAUAAGCACCGGCUAACUUCGUG